CACUCAUUAUUUCUACAUGUUCUCAUACACUAAUCUUGGGCCCUCUGUGGCUCCUGAUCUUCUCCGAUUUGAGAAUACUAGGGGUUAGGGUCACAAGACAUAGAGUUAGAUCCUUCUGGGAAUACAGGCUUUUAGUAUUACCAUACUAGUGGACUAUUGCAAAUCCUUCGUUCUGAUUGGCUACGCUACUCGGGGUCUAUUUUCAAUAGUCCUCGACUAGCGAAACUGAGCGACAAAUUUUUGCGUAUUUUUAGCAAUAAAAUCAUUUAGUUAUUUAUAUAUUUCAUUUUUUUUUUGUCCAACUAGUAUGGCAAUACUAAAACAAUUAGGGAGGCCUCUCGUCACUUACGUCAUCCUGUUCAUAUGACCGAAGCCGAAACCAUCUACUUGUAGCAGGCGUUCCUUGCGAGUCCAGAGAAACUCCCAAGAAAAAAACCUACAGCAAAGUAACAAGAGCAAAGAAAAAGAAGAAGAGAAAAAGCAUAUAUAAAGCAAGAAAGGAGAAAAAAAAUGAGAAACAAACGAAAAAGAGUCAAUAAAAAAGGGAAAAAGAGAAAUUCCACCAGCAGAACUUGAACUCAGGAACUUCACUUCAGAAGAAGAUGUAACCCCCCGUUAUCAGUUCCAGCAAUGGGUUUAACCGGGAAAGUAGCGUCACGCUAACUGUGACAAGAAACCAAAGGUGCUCGAAAUAGAAACGUUAUAACUGAAUCAACAUCUUUUUUUAGAUUGCUAAUAAACUUGUAAAAGGUUUUUUCUUA